UUGGAGGGCAAGUCUGGUGCCAGCAGCCGCGGUAAUUCCAGCUCCAAUAGCGUAUAUUAAAGUUGUUGUGGUUAAAAAGCUCGUAGUUGAACCUUGGGCCUGGCUGGCCGGUCCGCCUCACCGCGUGUACUGGUCCGGCCGGGCCUUUCCCUCUGUGGAACCCGAUGCCCUUCACUGGGUGUCGUGGGGAAACAGGACUUUUACUGUGAAAAAAUUAGAGUGCUCCAGGCAGGCCUAUGCUCGAAUACAUUAGCAUGGAAUAAUAGAAUAGGA
rnacentral:rRNA from 1 species